rnacentral:rRNA from 1 species
GACGUAGGGCGCGAGCGUUGUCCGGAUUUAUUGGGCGUAAAGAGCUCGUAGGCGGUUCGAUAAGUCGGAUGUGAAAUCUCCACGCUCAACGUGGAGGGUGCAUUCGAUACUGUCGUGCUUGAGGACUGGAGAGGAGACUGGAAUUCAUGGUGUAGCAGUGAAAUGCGUAGAGAUCAUGAGGAAGACCAGUGGCGAAGGCGGGUCUCUGGACAGUUCCUGACACUGAGACACGAAGGCCAGGGGAGCAAACGGG